CGCUUGACUGCUGGGCCACCCAGGCGUCCCAUCAAAUAAUGGGGUUUAAUCAUGAAAACUUCUAGGGUGCUUGCUUGUUUCUCUGAUAUUCUAAUCCGGAUCACAGAAUGGCUAAGGCAGCUUUAAGUGGAGGGCGGAGUUUGUUUUCUUUUUUCCUUUCUCUGUUUGCCUUGUAUUUUCCACUCUGAAAGAACAUUAUGGCCUCAUUUCCUGGUGACUACGAUUCAAGUUGAACUCUGUGGAACAGGUUCUUCUCUCAUGGAGGAAAAUAAACAGGAAUGGUGAUCUUAUCAACCAUGGUUUCAUCACACAGAGAGAGACAGAGAGAGGCAGAGACACAGGCAGAGGGAGAAGCAGGCUCC